UACGAGUGGCCUCGAGCGUUAUCCGGAAUCAUUGGGCGUAAAGGGUGCGUAGGCGGCCUUGUUAGUCUCGCGUAAAAUCCUUCGGCUCAACCGAGGGCUCGCGUGGGAAACGGCAAGGCUAAGAGGAUGGUAGGGGUCUCUGGAACUCUAGGUGUAGCGGUGAAAUGCGUUGAUAUCGGAAGGAACACCUGUGGCGAAAGCGGCUCACUGGACCAUUACUGACGCUGAUGCACGAAAGCUAGGGGAGCAAACAGG
rnacentral:rRNA from 1 species